rnacentral:rRNA from 1 species
CACGUAGGGCGCAAGCGUUGUCCGGAAUUAUUGGGCGUAAAGAGCUCGUCGGCGGUCUGUUGCGUCCGCUGUGAAAACUCGGGGCUUAACCCCGAGCCUGCAGUGGAUACGGGCAGACUAGAGGUAGGUAGGGGAGAAUGGAAUUCCUGGUGUAGCGGUGAAAUGCGCGGAUAUCAGGAGGAACACCGGUGGCGAAGGCGGAUCUCUGGGCCUUACCUGACGCUGAGGCGCGAAAGCUAGGGGAGCAAACAGG